GAACUAAACGGGAAAAGUUGUAUGCUAUAUGUCAAUGUGUAUAUCAUAAGCGUAUAGCUUUUCCCCUUAGUCU
rnacentral:pre_miRNA from 1 species